UACGUAGGGUGCGAGCGUUAAUCGGAAUUACUGGGCGUAAAGUGUGCGCAGGCGGCCGAGCAAGUCGAGUGUGAAAGCCCCGAGCUUAACUUGGGAACUGCGCUCGAAACUACUUGGCUAGAGUGUGGCAGAGGGAGGUGGAAUUCCACGUGUAGUGGUGAAAUGCGUAGAGAUCCGGAGGAACACCAGAGGCGAAGGCGGCCUACUGGGCCAGUACUGACGCUGAGCCGCGAAAGCCAGGGGAGCGAACGGG
rnacentral:rRNA from 1 species